CAGUCGCCACGGUAAUACGGAGGGUGCAAGCGUUAAUCGGAAUUACUGGGCGUAAAGCGCACGCAGGCGGUCUGACAAGUCAGAUGUCAAAUCCCCGGGCUUAACCUGGGAACUGCAUUUGAAACUGUCAGGCUGGAGUCUUGUAGAGGGGGGUAGAAUUCCAGGUGUAGCGGUGAAAUGCGUAGAGAUCUGGAGGAAUACCGGUGGCGAAGGCGGCCCCCUGGACAAAGACUGACGCUCAGGUGCGAAAGCGUGGGGAGCAAACAGGAUUAGAUACCCCUGUAGUCCCUGUCUCUAUACA
rnacentral:rRNA from 1 species